rnacentral:snRNA from 14 species
AUCGCUUCUCGGCCUUUUGGCUAAGAUCAAGUGUAGUAUCUGUUCUUAUCAGUUUAAAAUUCAAGGAUUUUAAUUAAGAGUCUGUGUGGGCAUACAUUUUUUUGCAACCUAUUUUUAAUUAAAGGGUUCAACCUCUCCUCUUGCCCACCGCCCAGCAGAGGUCGUGGAAGAGGAAAGUUA